UAGCAAUUUCUUUUGGGCCGGAUCCGCAUGAAAGCGUUUACAUCCGUCUGUAGCGGACAUACGGUAUCUGACUGUGGGCCAGAUCUGCACCUGAUAAGAUUUCAGCUCUGCUAGCAAAGCUGUUUUUUCAUCGAUUUACAGAUUUGUCCCAGGUCCGUUUUCCGCAACUCAACCGGAAGUCAGGAGAUGCGUUUAAAAUACAAAACACUAAUUUGGCCCAAACCUGUGAUACGGAUAUGGGCAGAAGGAGCAGGUGGUAAUUGAACAGAGAAGUCAACUAGCUGGCUGCUGUAGAAUAAAAGUAUUUUGUAAUGGCACAAAUUUAGAAACAUGAGGGUGCACUAUGUGCCCAUGGCCACUUCAUUUCUACACUAAGGCUGGAAUUUAAGCUAUUGGCUCAGUAUAUGUGCCAGUUAGACUUUUCAGUGCUGUUUUUCUACAGUCAGCAGAUUUGGGCCAGAUCCACUUACCACAUCAGAACCAAAGCUUCCAGAAAGCCAGUUAACUGAUGUGGCCCACAUCUGUAAUAUUGACCCAAACCACCUCCAAACUUGUGUGUUCCACUCUGGUUUACUGAACAGAGCCGAACGCGCGAAGUGAGUGAGGUCCGUCCGUUUGAGAGACGUUAUGCUGAUCUGGCCCUCAUCCGUACCACGGAUUAUAGCCAGAAACCGUUGGAAUAGAGCAAAUGAAACUUUUGUGGGGGUGCCCAUUGCCAUAUUUCGUUAUUAAAUCCUGAUUUGUUAAAUCUUACAAUGGAACACUUGCACGUAGCCUACACAAAAAUGAUUAAUUCACUAACAAAGUAAUAGGCUUGUCUUAAAAUGGAAGAUUUACCACAUAACUAAAAAAAAUACAUUAGCAACUGUCCACUAUCCAAGUGCAAUGGUCCAAGCUGUAUUGCCAUCCUGGGAAGAAAAAAAGUUGCGAACAUCGUGGGAAAAAACGGCACUGGCGCACAUAAUGGAUGGCAACAUGGAUGGAUAUAUAACGUUUUUUAAAUGCUGGAAAGGAGAGAAAACAGGUGGAGAAAGAGUUGGAGAGACUGAAGAGGUCAGUGACAGGUGCAUUUAUAGUCCAUCAUGACAUAAAAAAUCCUCGGCAUGCAACCACGAGGAGAGGGGGAAUUUACUAAGGAGUUUUGUCUAUAUAUUAUAUAAAAUCUACUGUUGGGAAGAGCAGAACCUAAUCCAAAUAAAAAUAAACAAGCUGUUAAAAGCCAGGUGGUCAACACAAACCAAAUGAAGAUGUUGCACAUUCCACAAACAAUAAAAAAAGAAGAUCAAGUUUUGUGUCAAACACACUUGGAUGAGACGUGCCCGACCCCUGACUUUGUCUACCCUACAUUAAGUUGCACACUUCAUGACAGUAAACAUCGGUAUCAAGAUGAUGUGAUUGAUCUAUACCCUAGAAUAAACUGUGACACUAUGAGACGGUGACAUAAUGAACAGCCAUCUUCCAGACAACCGAAACAGGCAGAUAUUGUCUACAAUACCAAAUUCUGGAUUGACGCCCCAGUACCAGAAGGCACUCCAAUCCCAGAGAGCAUCCCAUUGUGAGGUAACACAACGAAAAAAUAACAGGAUGGAGACUACCUGAUUCUUCACCUAUGGCCUUAGCUUCAAAUGCAAGAAGUCCAGCAACUGUCUGAGCUGGUGGAUAUUCUAUCAGAGACUGCAUGAACAACGUUAUGAACAGAAUGAUGUCAAAUUGUCUUAUGGCAAAGUUCAAUAUGAGGGGUGGUGGACAUCUGGAAAAUAAGUAUUUUAAAGGCACACCUUUGUAUUAUGUUAUUCAAGAUGCUGUGAGGAGGUGGAGCCCAAAAGUUACAGACUCGGAAAUCGAUGCAGCUAUGGCAGACCACCUCAAGCACGCUCCACCUGUAUACAUUUUUAUUUUUUGCUGAACACAAAGAUUGAAUAAUGUUUGUAACCAAGCAUUUCUCACAACCCAUUAACUGUCAUAAUCAUUUUUUUUUACAAUUGUAGUAAUGUGUUGUGAGAACUGCUUUUUUAAAAACAUGAGAGGGAGUAAAUGACUAAAUAUUCAUUUUUGGGUGAGCUAUCCCUUUAUAUAAUAAAGUAUUUUGAAAUUGUUAUUAUAGUUAAAAAAAUAAAAGUCCUAAAUCAGAA